UGGGAUACGAAUGCUGGAGAAGAACCCAGCC
rnacentral:piRNA from 1 species